rnacentral:rRNA from 1 species
AUUGAACGCUGGCGGCAUGCUUUACACAUGCAAGUCGGACGGCAGCAGGGUGGUGCUCGCACUACUGCCGGCGAGUGGCGAACGGGAUACAACGGUACGGGCACGUACCGAGGGGUGAGGGAUGAGCAAGCUACGGAUUUGCCACUACCGCACUCGCGCUGAAAGGGGGGGCAGGUCGGCUCCCGCCCUAUCGUAGUGCCCGCUGCCAAUAUCUGAUUAGGGAGUGGGUGGGGUAAAGGCCUACCAAGCCGACGAGCAGUAGCGGGUCUGAGAGGACGACCAGCCAAACUGGGACUGAGACACGGCCCAGACUCCUACGGGAGGCAGCAGUGGGGAAUUUUGGACAAUGGGCGCAAGCCUGAUCCAGCCAUUCCGCGGGCAGGACGAAGGCCUUCGGGUUGUAAACUGCUUUUGUAUGGAACGAAAAGGCUCUGGCUAAUACCUGUGGCUCAUGACGGUACCGUAAGAAUAAGCACCGGCUAACUACGG